AAUAUUGCGCAAUGGAGGGAACUCUGACGCAGCGACGCCGCGUGAUCGAUGAAGGUUUUCGGUUCGUAAAGCUCUGUCCUUGGGGAAGAAUGCGGCCAUUUUUGGUCACUUGACGGUACUCAAGGCGGAAGCCCCGGCUAACUACGUGCCAGCAGCCGCGGUAAUACGAAGGGGGCUAGCGUUGUUCGGAUUUACUGGGCGUAAAGCCCACGUAGGCGGAUUGGUCAGUUAGGGGUGAAAUCCCGGAGCUCAACUCCGGAACUGCCUUUAAUACUGCCAGUCUGGAGACCGAGAGAGGUGAGUGGAACUCCUAGUGUAGAGGUGGAAUUCGUAGAUAUUAGGAAGAACACCAGUGGCGAAGGCGGCUCACUGGCUCGGUACUGACGCUGAGGUGCGAAAGCGUGGGGAGCAAAC
rnacentral:rRNA from 1 species